rnacentral:rRNA from 1 species
UGGCGGACGGGUGAGUAACGCGUGGGUAACCUGCCUCAUACAGGGGGAUAACAGUUAGAAAUGACUGCUAAUACCGCAUAAGACCACAGCACCGCAUGGUGCAGGGGUAAAAACUCCGGUGGUAUGAGAUGGACCCGCGUCUGAUUAGGUAGUUGGUGGGGUAACGGCCUACCAAGCCGACGAUCAGUAGCCGACCUGAGAAGGUGACCGGCCACAUUGGGACUGAGACACGGCCCAG